AGGAGGAACAAUCCCAGUGGUGGCAGCCAGCUCUGGAGCCCUGGAGUCAGCCCCCGCAGUAGCUCCGGAGCUCUCCAUCUGCAGGGCCUGGAGGCUCCGGGGCGGG
rfam:Canis lupus familiaris chromosome 15, whole genome shotgun sequence.